AGGUUAAGUUGAAGAGACGGAGCCGCAGCGAAAGCGAGUCUGAAUAGGGCGUUUAGUACGUGGUCGUAGACCCGAAACCAGGUGAUCUACCCAUGUCCAGGGUGAAGUUCAGGUAACACUGAAUGGAGGCCCGAACCCACGCACGUUGAAAAGUGCGGGGAUGAGGUGUGGGUAGCGGAGAAAUUCCAAUCGAACCUGGAGAUAGCUGGUUCUCCCCGAAAUAGCUUUAGGGCUAGCCUUAAGUGUAAGAGUCUUGGAGGUAGAGCACUGAUUGAACUAGGGGUCCUCAUCGGAUUACCGAAUUCAGUCAAACUCCGAAUGCCAAUGACUUAUCCUUAGGAGUCAGACUGCGAGUGAUAAGAUCCGUAGUCAAGAGGGAAACAGCCCAGAUCGCCAGCUAAGGUCCCAAAGUGUGUAUUAAGUGGAAAAGGAUGUGGAGUUGCUUAGACAACUAGGAUGUUGGCUUAGAAGCAGCCACCAUUUAAAGAGUGCGUAAUAGCUCACUAGUCGAGUGACUCUGCGCCGAAAAUGUACCGGGGCUAAAUACACCACCGAAGCUGCGAAUUGAUACCAAUGGUAUCAGUGGUAGGGGAGCGUUCUAAGUGCAGUGAAGUCAGACCGGAAGGACUGGUGGAGCGCUUAGAAGUGAGAAUGCCGGUAUGAGUAGCGAAAGACGGGUGAGAAUCCCGUCCACCGAAUGCCUAAGGUUUCCUGAGGAAGGCUCGUCCGCUCAGGGUUAGUCAGGACCUAAGCCGAGGCCGACAGGCGUAGGCGAUGGACAACAGGUUGAUAUUCCUGUACCACCUCUUUAUCGUUUGAGCAAUGGAGGGACGCAGAAGGAUAGAAGAAGCGUGCGAUUGGUUGUGCACGUCCAAGCAGUUAGGCUGAUAAGUAGGCAAAUCCGCUUAUCGUGAAGGCUGAGCUGUGAUGGGGAAGCUCCUUAUGGAGCGAAGUCUUUGAUUCCCCGCUGCCAAGAAAAGCUUCUAGCGAGAUAAAAGGUGCCUGUACCGCAAACCGACACAGGUAGGCGAGGAGAGAAUCCUAAGGUGUGCGAGAGAACUCUGGUUAAGGAACUCGGCAAAAUGACCCCGUAACUUCGGGAGAAGGGGUGCUUUCUUAACGGAAAGCCGCAGUGAAUAGGCCCAAGCGACUGUUUAGCAAAAACACAGGUCUCUGCGAAGCCGUAAGGCGAAGUAUAGGGGCUGACACCUGCCCGGUGCUGGAAGGUUAAGGAGAGGGGUUAGCGUAAGCGAAGCUCUGAACUGAAGCCCCAGUAAACGGCGGCCGUAACUAUAACGGUCCUAAGGUAGCGAAAUUCCUUGUCGGGUAAGUUCCGACCCGCACGAAAGGUGUAACGAUUUGGGCACUGUCUCAACCAGAGACUCGGUGAAAUUAUAGUACCUGUGAAGAUGCAGGUUACCCGCGACAGGACGGAAAGACCCCGUGGAGCUUUACUGUAGCCUGAUAUUGAAUUUUGGUACAGUUUGUACAGGAUAGGCGGGAGCCAUUGAAACCGGAGCGCUAGCUUCGGUGGAGGCGCUGGUGGGAUACCGCCCUGACUGUAUUGAAAUUCUAACCUACGGGUCUUAUCGACCCGGGAGACAGUGUCAGGUGGGCAGUUUGACUGGGGCGGUCGCCUCCUAAAGUGUAACGGAGGCGCCCAAAGGUUCCCUCAGAAUGGUUGGAAAUCAUUCGUAGAGUGCAAAGGCAUAAGGGAGCUUGACUGCGAGACCUACAAGUCGAGCAGGGACGAAAGUCGGGCUUAGUGAUCCGGUGGUUCCGCAUGGAAGGGCCAUCGCUCAACGGAUAAAAGCUACCCCGGGGAUAACAGGCUUAUCUCCCCCAAGAGUCCACAUCGACGGGGAGGUUUGGCACCUCGAUGUCGGCUCAUCGCAUCCUGGGGCUGUAGUCGGUCCCAAGGGUUGGGCUGUUCGCCCAUUAAAGCGGUACGCGAGCUGGGUUCAGAACGUCGUGAGACAGUUCGGUCCCUAUCCGUCGUGGGCGUAGGAAAUUUGAGAGGAGCUGUCCUUAGUACGAGAGGACCGGGAUGGACGCACCGCUGGUGUACCAGUUGUUCUGCCAAGGGCAUAGCUGGGUAGCUAUGUGCGGAAGGGAUAAGUGCUGAAAGCAUCUAAGCAUGAAGCCCCCCUCAAGAUGAGAUUUCCCAUAGCGUAAGCUAGUAAGAUCCCUGAAAGAUGAUCAGGUUGAUAGGUUCGAGGUGGAAGCAUGGUGACAUGUGGAGCUGACGAAUACUAAUAGAUCGAGGACUUAACCAUAUAA
rnacentral:rRNA from 2 species